rnacentral:rRNA from 1 species
AUACGGAGGAUGCAAGCGUUAUCCGGAUUUAUUGGGUUUAAAGGGUGCGCAGGCGGGAAAUUAAGUCAGUGGUGAAAUCCUACAGCUUAACUGUAGAACUGCCAUUGAUACUGAUUUUCUUGAGUGCAGUUGAGGUAGGCGGAAUGUGUAAUGUAGCGGUGAAAUGCUUAGAUAUUACACAGAACACCGAUUGCGUAGGCAGCUUACUAAACUGUUACUGACGCUCAGGCACGAAAGCGUGGGGAGCGAACAGGAUUAGAAACCCCAGUAGUCC